CAGUCCCCUCCAAAAAAAAAUAAACCAUCAAAUCGGUACCAGGAUCUUUAUAAAGUGAUUCAUGUUGCCUGAAGAUGAUUGAACAUGGCAAACUGCACAAAGUCUGAUUAAAGUAUCAACCAUACUUCCUUAAGCGUGAAACACGCAUUUAAAAUGUCUAAUCACAUCCAAUGCUUGCAAUGGUAAUUCCAGGGAAGGUGGCAACUAUUUACACUACUUCUUAUAUUUGACUUUCAUGUCCAUUCUCAUAUCGGGUGACCAAGCUAACUACAUUUGGAUUCAGUAUUAAAUUGGUCAAAUCCCGUGAACAAGUCCCAAUGUGUUACAAAAGCUCAAAACUUUAGCGGUUAACACACGUGUGAAAUUUUCUAUCCAUUCUUAUGGAAUUAUCUCAGCACAAGUUCUUAGCACCAUUGAAGAACAGUCCACCAGCAAUCAAUAUGCUCUUCAAGAGUGUUUCUCCCAGAUUUCUAUUGGGAAGAAAUCUAAGCGAAAGAGAUAUCAGUUGCUGUUUCACUGCAAAACAUCCUCAUCGUGGUACAAUUGAUUUUGGCAAAAGGAGGCUCUUGGCAACUGGCAGGCGCUCAGCAUCCAAGGGGAGUUCCAGAGGAUCAACCUGAGAUACAUCUGGAUACCUGCAGGAUUCACAAUUUACAAAUCCUUUUGUGAAAUAGACCCCUCACCCUUUUGGAAUCAAGUGCCCAGUCAAUCUCGGAGAUUAAACUAUCGUUAAAAAUCAACCAUAAAAAUAAAAGCAGAACACUGACAUAUUAGUGGCAAUUUUUUAAAAAAAGUUAAAGAAUAAUAGAACAGUUGAAUGAUGUUCAAUAUUUUAACCAUGAUUAUGCCCACCCUGUCAUGAUUAAAACAAUUGCAGAUGCAGUUAAGAGUCAAAUUCAUACCAAGAUAUCUUGUCUUUGAAUUCAGAAGGUGAUACUGUAUUUAGUUUAAUGGAUAUAAAAAAACAAAUUGUUUCCAAUUUACAGGUAGUGAGAAUAGUUGAAGUUUCAAUCACUUAUGAUGUGAAUGCUGAAUUAAAAGACCAGUGUAACAAAAUGAUAAUUGUACGAUUGACAACAAACAGCAUUUUCUAUAUUCUCUUAUUUUUAAUAUCUUAAUAACAUAGAUAAGACAUUUAACAACAAAUCAUGAAGCACAGGCUUAGUGCACCUCAAUCAGUUUAAAGACAGAAAUAAAAUGAACCACACUCAACCAGCAACUUGUAGCAUGGGUUGUUAACAUCAUAUUUAUUAUAAUUAACAUUUUACAAUUAAGAUGACUAACUGCACCUGGUUAACCCUCGCAACACUCCAAUUUUGCUUGAGCUACAAGUUAACACUGAAUGUUAUAUUCCGUAUCCAAAUGAUUAAAUACUCACAAAGAGAAAA